GUAGCUCAGUGGUUGAGCAUCUGCUUGGCAUGCAGAAGGCCACAGGUUCUAAUCCCAGUAACU
rnacentral:tRNA from 1 species